rnacentral:rRNA from 1 species
GAUGAACGCUGGCGGCGUGCCUAAUACAUGCAAGUCGAGCGAACAGACGAGGAGCUUGCUCCUCUGACGUUAGCGGCGGACGUGUGAGUAACACGUGGAUAACCUACCUAUAAGACUGGGAUAACUUCGGGAAACCGGAGCUAAUACCGGAUAAUAUAUUGAACCUCAUGGUUCAAUAGUGAAAGACGGUUUUGCUGUCACUUAUAGAUGGAUCCUCGCCGCAUUAGCUAGUUGGUAAGGUAACGGCUUACCAAGGCGACGAUGCGUAGCCGACCUGAGAGGGUGAUCGGCAACACUGGAACGGAGACACGGUCAAGACUCCUACGGGAGGCAGCAGUAGGGAAUCUUCCGAAAUGGGCGAAAGCCUGACGGAGCAACGCCGCGUGAGUGAUGAAGGUCUUCGGAUCGUAAAACUCUGUUAUUAGGGAAGAACAAAUGUGGAAGUAACUAUGCACGUCUUGACGGUACCUAAUCAGAAAGCCACGGCUAACUACGUG